rnacentral:rRNA from 1 species
CCUACGGGAGGCAGCAGUGAGGAAUAUUGGUCAAUGGACGCAAGUCUGAACCAGCCAUGCCGCGUGCAGGAUGACGGCUCUAUGAGUUGUAAACUGCUUUUGUACGAGGGUAAACCCCGAUACGUGUAUCGGGUUGAAAGUAUCGUACGAAUAAGGAUCGGCUAAUUCCGUGCCAGCAGCCGCGGUAAUAUGGAGGAUCCGAGCGUUACCCGGAUUUAUUGGGUUUAAAGGGUGCGUAGGCGGUUUGAUAAGUUAGAGGUGAAAUGGCGGAGCUCAACCCCGAAACUGCGUCUAGUACUGGUGGACUAGAGAGUAGUUACGGUAGGCGGAAUGUAUGGUGUAGCGGUGAAAUGCUUAGAUAUCAUACAGAACACCGAUUGCGAAGGCAGCUUACCAAACUAUAACUGACGUUGAGGCACGAAGGCGUGGGUAGCAAACAGGAUUAGAUACCCGUGUAGUC